rnacentral:rRNA from 1 species
GAUCCUGGCUCAGGACGAACGCUGGCGGCGUGCCUAAUACAUGCAAGUCGAACGCUUCUUUCCUCCCGAGUGCUUGCACUCAAUUGGAAAGAGGAGUGGCGGACGGGUGAGUAACACGUGGGUAACCUACCCAUCAGAGGGGGAUAACACUUGGAAACAGGUGCUAAUACCGCAUAACAGUUUAUGCCGCAUGGCAUAAGAGUGAAAGGCGCUUUCGGGUGUCGCUGAUGGAUGGACCCGCGGUGCAUUAGCUAGUUGGUGAGGUAACGGCUCACCAAGGCCACGAUGCAUAGCCGACCUGAGAGGGUGAUCGGCCACACUGGGACUGAGACACGGCCCAGACUCCUACGGGAGGCAGCAGUAGGGAAUCUUCGGCAAUGGACGAAAGUCUGACCGAGCAACGCCGCGUGAGUGAAGAAGGUUUUCGGAUCGUAAAACUCUGUUGUUAGAGAAGAACAAGGACGUUAGUAACUGAACGUCCCCUGAC